CACUCCGGUGGCCUAUUUGUUAGAGCGUUCGCCUCCAAAGCGGGAGGUCGUGGGUUCUAUCCCCGGCCGAGUCA